CCCAGUUUAUAUGACUUAGUGGUUGAUGAUGUCUCUGUGGCAGGUUGCAUCUGACAGUUUAUGACUUUAGAGUCCAGUUUACGGUCAGUGAUGAGGUCCUGAAUGAGACGUCCCUUGUUUUUCAGUGAGCGGAUGUUAAGUAGAGCAAAGUUGAGUGCGGUGUUGUCACAGCUGGUGGUGGUGCUAGCCGACCGAGCUAGGCGGGCUAACAUGCUGUGGUCGACAGCCCUGCUGGUGGAGCAUGGAGGGCGACCAAUCCACCUUCGGAAGCUGGACCAGAUGGAUUUUAUUGCUGUUGAACCGUUGUGGUGGACAAUCCGGCGGGACCCUCGGUGGAUGUAUCUCCGGCGUGGCUGGAAGGUGAUGUCCGGGUGAAGGUGGAGUGCCUCGGGCGCAGGUCCAAGCGAGUGACAGCGGAGCCGGAGCAGGUCAGCGGCUGAACACUGCAGCAAACCCGCCACUUGCAGGUGAGCGGGCAGUAGGAAUAUCCAGACGCAGACAAGCAGAAUGUGUGUCCUGUUGGUCCACAUUAUUAAAAAACGCCAGGUGAGGCUGAAAACGGGGCAGGACAGGUGAGCUACCGAUAGUAGCCUAGUUGGGACUCACACAACCUGUAGUGCCGAUGAAUCGUGGCCGUAUUCUCAGUAAAAACAAUUGCACUGUCCGUUAAAAAGUUACCGGUGAGCGAAGGCAGCGGGCAACAAAUACAAAAAUACCGGCGAGCAGCGGCAGUAAGUCAUGCCAGCGUUCAUUUGUUUAAGUUAUGUCAGGGUUCUCUGUUUGGUUGGUGUUCUAACUCUGCUUCACAGGUGGUUCUAGUUGGCUGGGGGCGUGGCCCACACCUGCGGCUAGUUUGGAGCAGUGUUCACUGGCAUCUUAAGGAUGACUCAGACAGAUGGAAGACGCCAGAGCCUUACCCAGUCGGGUUUUUGUUUGGACUACUCACCCGCCUUGACGUCUCGCUCGACGGACCAGCUCCUAAGAAUUCCUGAAGCUCAGAUGUUGCUCUGGCGUUCUCCCUCUUACUCACUUGGUGAUACCAAGCCAGGCCUGAGGUUCCCUUCCCUGGAUUCCGCUGGUUUCUCCGCACUCUGGUUGCUCCAUCUGUCACUCCUGCCUGCCGUGGCUCGCUCCAGAUCCCUUGCCGACUUACCAUCAGUCCGCCUUCCAGCCGCUAACCACCAGCUAUCCACCGUGAGCAUUCGGUCUCAGAGUUCCCUCGUCACUACUUCCCCGGUUAGGUUUGCCCAACUAAAUGUUUCUCCAGCACUGACGUUCAGACCUUGACAGAUCCCAUCAUCAGAAUCGAUCUCUGUAGUCUGAAUCUAAAUAAAACAUCUUAAACUCUGCAUUGUCUUCCGUAUUGUGUCUGCAUGUGGGCAAAACAUCUAAGUUUUUAUAUGUUUGAAUGUAUGAAUCGUGGUUAAAUUAGCUUAACUAAUUCAGAACAACAUUUGACAUGUGUUUCAACCCAUUCACAAU